rnacentral:lncRNA from 1 species
GACAGAUGACGACUCCACUAGGGACAUGCGAGAGUCAGGCCAUUUAAUUAGAUGCGCGAAUUUGAUGUGGUUUAGCUUUUUGUUUUCUGUCCCCUUUAUUUUCCAUAUUUGUAUUAUUCUCAUAUGUGUUUUAUAUUUGUUGGGUAUUGAACCCUAGGAUACAUGACAUGCUUAUAUCUGCCUGGGAAUUUUUCUGGUGGUUUUGCAGGUGAGGGUUUGGGUAUGCAUUCCAUUCUCCCUUCACACACACACUUUAUGCAUAUCAUGAGUGCGACCCUAUACCCGGGUCUGAGUGUAGCCUAGAAAUAAAGGGGUUGUGUAGCGGUGUCAUUUGGGACAUACUUCUUGUUUGGCUAUCAUGAGAACCCCAACAAGAGUUUGUUCUCUCCAUUUGUGUCUUCACAUCUAAUUGAUUACUCGAC